GACAGACAGGUACAGAGACAGCCAGGGACAGAGACACAGACAUGUACAGAGAGAAAGACAGGUACAGAGAGAAAGACAAGCGAGAGACAGCCAGGGACAGAGACACAGACAUGGACAGAGACACAGAAAGGUGAGGGACAGACAGGUACAGAGAGAAAGACAAGUGAGAGACAGACAGGUACAGAGAGAGAGACAAACAGGUACAGAGAGACAGACAAGUACAGAGAGAAAGACAGGUACAGAGAGAAAGACAAGCGAGAGACAGACAGGUACAGAGAGAAGGACAGGUACAGAGGGAAAGACAGGUACAGAGAGAAAGACAAGCGAGAGACAGACAGGUACAGAGAGAAGGACAGGUACAGAGGGAAAGACAGGUACAGAGAGAAAGACAGGUACAGAGAGAAAGACAAGCGAGAGACAGACAGGUACAGAGAGGACAGGUACAGAGAGAAAGACAAGCGAGAGACAGCCAGGGACAGAGACACAGACAUGUACAGAGACACAGAAAGGUGAGGGACAGACAGGUACAGAGAGAAAGACAAGUGAGAGACAGACAGGUACAGAGAGAGACAAACAGGUACAGAGAGACAGACAAGUACAGAGAGAAAGACAGGUACAGAGAGAAAGACAAGCGAGAGACAGACAGGUACAGAGAGAAGGACAGGUACAGAGGGAAAGACAGGUACAGAG